GGCUAGUUUUGUGGGCAAAAGCGUAAAGGGUGUGAUAGGCCGUUUUAAUUAAAAAGGGUUUCCAGCAGACGCGGUGAGACUUAAGGGUUUGUUUUUUAGAAAAAAGCAGAAAGCGUGUAAAGGUAAAACAUUUAAAAUAAAUAGAAUUUUUUUAGUAAUAGUGCAAUAUUAAAAGAAGAAAAAGAAUUUUUUAUGUGAAGACAAUUUAUUUUUUUCUUUAACACGAAGGUUCUGGGAGCGAACAGGAUUAGAGACCCUGGUAGUCGAUACAGUAAAAGAAAGUCGCUUGAGUAGUACGGUCGCAAGAUUAAAAUUCAAAAAACUUGGCUGUUCAUUGUUAUUUAGAGGAGCGUGUUGCUUAAUUCGAUAAUCCGCGAGUUACCUUACCAAAACUGGCUUUUUCAGGUGU
rnacentral:rRNA from 1 species